GAAAAAUAAGAACUCACUAGAAGAAAAAGGCUGAGCAAGAAACAAUGUUUUUUGGAAGCUUCCAUAAAACUAAUACUACUAUUUUUUGGAAGUUCAGGAAAAAAAUCCUCAUGAGUCCAGCAAGCUCCGAGCAGCUUCCAAACUCAGCUCUUCAUUCACCUGAAAGUCAUAAAGGUUUCCAAAGUAAACUUACAGCAGAAUUUUUUUAGGUGAUUGGCUAAAAUGAAAUGAAGAUACACAUUUUAAGCAAAUGAUACGUAGAGAAAGCAGGAAAAUUUUCUGCUUCUUCGGGAAGUAUAUACUUACAAGUUUCCUGUAAACUUGUUGAAAUGCCUUGCAAAAAGUUUCUGCUUCCGCUGGACCCAUCUGUAGAAAGCCA
rnacentral:lncRNA from 1 species